rnacentral:rRNA from 1 species
AUAUAUUCUCACUACUGCUUCAGGGGGGGCCUAUCUGCAGUCGAGCGGACAGAAGGGAGCUUGCUCCCGGAUGUUAGCGGCGGACGGGUGAGUAACACGUGGGUAACCUGCCUGUAAGACUGGGAUAACUCCGGGAAACCGGAGCUAAUACCGGAUAGUUCCUUGAACCGCAUGGUUCAAGGAUGAAAGACGGUUUCGGCUGUCACUUACAGAUGGACCCGCGGCGCAUUAGCUAGUUGGUGAGGUAACGGCUCACCAAGGCGACGAUGCGUAGCCGACCUGAGAGGGUGAUCGGCCACACUGGGACUGAGACACGGCCCAGACUCCUACGGGAGGCAGCAGUAGGGAAUCUUCCGCAAUGGACGAAAGUCUGACGGAGCAACGCCGCGUGAGUGAU